rnacentral:rRNA from 1 species
UACGUAGGGUGCAAGCGUUAAUCGGAAUUACUGGGCGUAAAGCGUGCGCAGGCGGUUUUGUAAGUCUGUCGUGAAAUCCCCGGGCUCCAACCUGGGAAUUGCGAUGGAGACUGCAAGGCUAGAAUCUGGCAGAGGGGGGUAGAAUUCCACGUGUAGCAGUGAAAUGCGUAGAUAUGCGGAGGAACACCGAUGGCGAAGGCAAUCCCCUGGGCCUGCACUGACGCUCAUGCACGAAAGCGUGGGGAGCAAACAGG